GAGGGGGAUAACAGCCGGAAACAGCUGCUAAUACCGCAUGAAACAUUUGGGUCGCAUGAUCCGGAUGUCAAAGAGUAACAUCGCGCAUAGAUGAGCUCGCGUCUGAUUAGAUAGUUGGUGGGGUAACGGCCUACCAAGUCGACGAUCAGUAGCCGGACUGAGAGGUUGAACGGCCACAUUGGAACUGAGAAACGGUCCAGACUCCUACGGGAGGCAGCAGUGGGGAAUAUUGGGCAAUGGGCGAAAGCCUGACCCAGCGACGCCGCGUGAGGGAAGAAGGUCUUCGGAUUGUAAACCUUUGUAAGCAGGGAAGAAGGAAGUGACGGUACCUGCAGAGUAAGCCA
rnacentral:rRNA from 1 species